rnacentral:lncRNA from 1 species
GAAGUCCUACUUCUCUUCUAGCAGAAUUGACAUUUCGUAUGCAAUUUCUGUAUCAUUUCAUAAACAAAUAGUUUUAUAUAAAUAUUUUCUCAAGGUCUACGGCAAUUUGGGCCUCUAUAAAAGGGCAUUUACAUCACAUAUAUUUUGCAUCAGUAUUCAAAACAUUUUAAAAACGAAAGCUUAUACAUUUAUUCAUAUAUAAUCUCUGUACCAUCACCAUGUGUCGACUGUUAUGUUGUUGCUUCUGCCGCAAGAAGAAAAAGCCGCGAGAUGCGAAAAAGGGUAAAAAGGGAAAGAAGCGUCGCGAUGAUGUAGCUAUGGAAAUAAAUCCAGACGUUUGUUGCUGUUUUGGCGGGGGAGAUGGCGGAGGAGAUGGUGGCGGUGGAGACGGUGGUGGUGGAUGUGGAGGUGGAGGUGGCGGCUGCGGAGGUGGAGGUGGAGGCGGUUAAGAGAUGAGGUUUCCGUUGUUCUAUAUGUGACGAUGAUUUCUUGUAUGUGAUGUAUUUAUUAAUUUAUUUAUUUAUGUACGAUUUAAUUUGUUCUGUUGUUUCUUGUGAAAAGGAAAUUAUAAUUUAUACCUGACAUAUAAUGCAUUAUUCAUCAUAACAUUAUGUAGUUAAAUUUAUUCAGUUAGACUUAUAAUUAACUAACA